rnacentral:rRNA from 1 species
AUGUGGAGAAGGAAAAAGAAUAAAAUAUCAAAGCUGAAGAAAAGUGAUGGGCGUUGGAUUGAGAAGGCCGAAGACAUACAAUCUGAGAUAAAUGGAUUUUUCACGGACUUGUACUGUAAGGAUGAGGAUGUCAAACCACAGGAGCUGCUGAACCUCUUUCCCUCGAGAGUGGAUGAUUCCAUGAACAUGGCGUUAACCAAACCGGUGACACCAGAGGAGGCUGGGGAUGCACUGUUUCAAAUUGGUCCCCUCAAGGCCCCAGGGCCGGAUGGCUUUCCAGCACGCUUUUUCCAACGGAAUUGGGGAGUAAUGAAGGAUGAGGUUACUGAUACAGUAAUAAAAUUCUUUGAAGAUGGGAUCAUG